UCUACUUAUACUACGAUGUUU
rnacentral:piRNA from 1 species